rnacentral:rRNA from 1 species
GAGAUAACUCCUACGGGAGGCAGCAGUGGGGAAUUUUGGACAAUGGGGGCAACCCUGAUCCAGCAAUGCCGCGUGAGUGAAGAAGGCCUUCGGGUUGUAAAGCACUUUUGGCAGGGAAGAAGCGGUAGUAGCUAAUAUCUAUUACUAAUGACGGUACCUGAAGAAUAAGCACCGGCUAACUACGUGCCAGCAGCCGCGGUAAUACGUAGGGUGCAAGCGUUAAUCGGAAUUACUGGGCGUAAAGCGUGCGCAGGCGGUUGUGUAAGUCAGAUGUGAAAUCCCCGGGCUCAACCUGGGAAUUGCAUUUAAAACUGCACAGCUAGAGUGUGGCAGAGGGGGGUAGAAUUCCACGUGUAGCAGUGAAAUGCGUAGAGAUGUGGAGGAAUACCGAUGGCGAAGGCAGCCCCCUGGGAUAACACUGACGCUCAUGCACGAAAGCGUGGGGAGCAAACAGGAUUAGAAACCCUAGUAGUCCUCCACU